rnacentral:rRNA from 1 species
UGGUGGGUAGUUUGACUGGGGCGGUCUCCUCCUAAAGAGUAACGGAGGAGCACGAAGGUUGGCUAAUCCUGGUCGGACAUCAGGAGGUUAGUGCAAUGGCAUAAGCCAGCUUGACUGCGAGCGUGACGGCGCGAGCAGGUGCGAAAGCAGGUCAUAGUGAUCCGGUGGUUCUGAAUGGAAGGGCCAUCGCUCAACGGAUAAAAGGUACUCCGGGGAUAACAGGCUGAUACCGCCCAAGAGUUCAUAUCGACGGCGGUGUUUGGCACCUCGAUGUCGGCUCAUCACAUCCUGGGGCUGAAGUAGGUCCCAAGGGUAUGGCUGUUCGCCAUUUAAAGUGGUACGCGAGCUGGGUUUAGAACGUCGUGAGACA